rnacentral:lncRNA from 1 species
UUCUGAAAAAAUUAUUACAUCUAGCGAUAUAUGACAUCUUAUGUUAAAAUUAUGACUUUUUAUACAGAAUAUCAUAAUUUUUUGAUAAGAUGUCAUAAUUUUGAUAAGAAUAUUUUCGUCAUUUAAAAAUUUUAUAAAUUUUUUAAUGAUGAACAUGUAAUUCUUUCUUCGAUAAAAAAAUUAUGAAAUUCUGUACAAAAAGUUAUAAUUUUAACACAUGAUGUC